ACCUACAGUCUGGAGUUCAAUCCUGACAGGUUCAAGGUUGACUCAGCUUUCCAUCCUUCUGAUAUUGGUAAAACGAGAACCCAGAUUGCUGGAGGCAAUAUGCUGAAUCUGAAAACCACUCAGAGUGCUAUAAAACACAAUGGGUAGUAUAUAAAUUACAUAUAUAUACA